rnacentral:lncRNA from 1 species
CACUUUUUCCUUCUACUACCCAUCUCGCCAAAUUUUACCUCUUUACAAAUCUAUAUUUUUUAUUUUUAUCUAUAAUAAUAAUAAGGCUCUGCCUUGUUUUAAGUAUUAUAACUUCCAAUCACCGCUACCCUUUCCGAUUAAUCCGAGUCCCAUAACGCAUGUCAAGGCUCUGCCCGACUAAGUUCGUUUGGAUUCUAUCUCGGGACUUCGGGACAAGGUUGAAUUAGGGGUAUUAUACCUAACACGAGUACAUUAUAUAUUUUUUCUUUAGCCCAAAGGUUAUACCCAAAAUUUAUACCAGGAGUCCUUCUAGUUGAACCCUAAAAAAUUACCCAGUAGGUCCAUUCCUUUUUCUCACCAUUUUAUUCUCUUUUUGUAAGUUACCCAAAAUUAUUAUUUAUUAUUUCUAUUUUAUAAACAAACUUUCAUCAAAAGUCAUGCCUAUUAUUUUAUUUACCCAAUAGGGAACCAUAGUUGAGACACCCAAGUAAUCCUGCACAACUCCUAAAAUUUUCAUAGCAAUCAGAAUCAGGAUCAGGGCCCCUAAAACUCAAGGGGGGCAAAACCUAGUUGACGAUUAUCUUCAUAACUCAUUAUAAAAUUCGAAAUUUACAAAACCGUCGACACAGCAAGCCUACAUGCACGAAGGGCUACUCUAUGAAAAUAGGGUGGUCACUCGCGUAGCGCGACGCCUAAGAGGGUACCCCCUCGCGCUACGCGACGGUGUCAAAAUUUCAGUAUAAAUAGCAGGGGUUGGGAUUUGAAUUUUGGCACUUGAACGACGAAAAUCGGAGUUACGUAGGUCGAGUUAUAAGCAAAACAGUCCAACACACACACACAAUUAUCGAAUCGCUGCCGCAAAACAGGGUAAUUAGUCGAUCGCUAUUACGAUUCAGUUUCCGGGAUCAAUAUACCCAAAGAAUGUCUAAGUGCCGCCCACAUUGGGCUAUGCUUUAUCGUUGUCGAUAAUUCGAUAAUGAGCCGAAGCAUUGUACUUUGUCGUUGUCGAUAAUUCGAUAUACGAGUUGAAGUACUAUACUUUGUCGUUUGUCAUUUUGAUAAAUGAGCUGAAGUAUUGCACUUGGACAUUCAUUGUAAAAAUUGAUCUCGGGGAAUUAUCGUAACUGCUGUAUUGAUCAUUAACCUGGUUCUUGUGAAAUUCGUUAAGGUUGAUUUAGGUUUUUCACCAAUACGUAUUUCAUUCUGUUAAACUACCAAGAAUACUCCUAACUACACCCUUACAAUUAAACAAACUAUUAAAUCAUCAGAAGAUCCAGAAUAAUAAAGUACAUGCUUAAUUAUCGGGAAAAGUAGAAUCAAGAAGUUUGUUAACUCAAUCCUGCAUGAUGAUUUGUAAUUACAAUAGAUUGGAGUAAGGAUUGGAUCCGACACUGAAGGACUUCAAGAAGUGGCUUAUUUUCAAAUUAGGAAAUACUGUUUUUAUUUAAAAAGCUACCUUUGUAAAACAUGGAAUUUAUUCCAUCUUUUUAAAUAAAAUCCGGUGUUUCUAAACUCUGAUAUUUUUCCUAACUCACGGUCCUGAUGAAAUUUCCGCUGCAAUGUUUUUAAAAUAAUCACCGGUACCACUGGACUGCUCACGGCACCGAUUCCGGCUAGAUGGGGUCGGGGGUCUUGACAAAUGCCGUCUCGGGGAGGGUAUUACUAAUGUUAAAAUGGGUUAUUAUACUAACACGUGCACAUUUGUGUAAAUUAUAGAUAAUUCUCAGGAAAUCCUUACAGAAAACCUAAGACAGCAAUGUGAGUAAUCUCCUUCUUGUAAACAAUUUUUACAAAACCUUAACCAUUUUACAAUGCAAUUUAGCAGUGAUUGAGUCUUUGUAAUUCUACGAUUACUGCCGGUAUGUUGGGGUUUUGUAUACAAAAUGUAAGACACGUUACCAUUGGACGAAGAGUUAGCCAAUGUGUAAUAUGACCCACCAGUCAGGAUUGACAGUACUAAAUGAGUAAUUGGGUAGAUGUAAACAUUGUAAUCGCUCUCAAUACUAUUUAAAUUAAUAAAACUUUUCUUGAUUAAACUGGGAUUCACUCACCAGUAUUUCCCACUGACAAAAUGUUUUUAAACGCGUUUCAGGUAACACAAUGUAAAAGCCAAUUAGAAGCCAUCUGGACAGCACUGAAGGCAUGGAAAAGUGGCUAUAAAAGUUACCUAAAUAAAAGAAGGCGUUUAUUUCAAUAAAAUGAGAUUUAUCCCUAUAAAUCAGUUUGUAAUGAAAACUUGGGUUUUAUCCCAAUAUGUUUAUUUAUAUAAAAUAUGGUGUUUUACU